GUCUAUGGCCAUACCACCCUGAACAUGCCUAAUCUUGGAAGCUAAGCAGGGUUGGGCCUGGUUAGUACUUAGAUGAGAGAAAGCAAGCAUCCUAGCCA
ensembl:rRNA 5S_rRNA 5S ribosomal RNA